GCAUAUCAAUAAGCGGAGGAAAAGAAACCAACAGGGAUUGCCUUAGUAGCGGCGAGUGAAGCGGCAAAAGCUCAAAUUUGAAAUCUGGCACUUUCGGUGUCCGAGUUGUAAUUUGAAGAAGGUAUCUUUGGGUCUGGCUCUUGUCUAUGUUUCUUGGAACAGAACGUCACAGAGGGUGAGAAUCCCGUGCGAUGAGAUGACCCAGACCUAUGUAAAGUUCCUUCGAAGAGUCGAGUUGUUUGGGAAUGCAGCUCUAAGUGGGUGGUAAAUUCCAUCUAAAGCUAAAUAUUGGCGAGAGACCGAUAGCGAACAAGUACAGUGAUGGAAAGAUGAAAAGAACUUUGAAAAGAGAGUGAAAAAGUACGUGAAAUUGUUGAAAGGGAAGGGCUUGAGAUCAGACUUGGUAUUUUGUAUGUUACUCUCUCGGGGGUGGCCUCUACAGUUUACCGGGCCAGCAUCAGUUUGGGCGGUAGGACAAUUGCAAAGAAAUGUGGCACUGCCUCGGUAGUGUGUUAUAGUCUUUGUCGAUACUGCCAGCCUAGACUGAGGACUGCGGCUUCGGCCUAGGAUGUUGGCAUAAUGAUCUUAAGUCGCCCGUCUG
rnacentral:rRNA from 1 species